UACAGAGGUCUCAAGCGUUGUUCGGAUUCAUUGGGCGUAAAGGGUGCGUAGGUGGCGUCGUAAGUCGGGUGUGAAAUCUCGGGGCUUAACUCCGAAACUGCAUUCGAUACUGCGGUGCUUGAGGACUGGAGAGGAGACUGGAAUUUACGGUGUAGCAGUGAAAUGCGUAGAUAUCAAGAGGAACACCUGCGGCGAAGGCGGGUUGCUGGGCUGACACUGACGCUGAAGCGCGAAAGCGUGGGGAGCAAACCGG
rnacentral:rRNA from 1 species